AGAGUUUGAUCAUGGCUCAGAUUGAACGCUGGCGGCAUGCCUUACACAUGCAAGUCGAACGGAUUGAGGGGCUUGCUCCUCAGUUAGUGGCGAACGGGUGAGUAAUGCAUCGGAACGUGCCCAGUCGUGGGGGAUACUACUCGAAAGAGUAGCUAAUACCGCAUACGCCCUGAGGGGGAAAGCGGGGGACUCGCAAGAGCCUCGCGCGAUUGGAGCGGCCGAUGUCAGAUUAGCUAGUUGGUAGGGUAAAAGCCUACCAAGGCGACGAUCUGUAGCUGGUCUGAGAGGACGACCAGCCACACUGGGACUGAGACACGGCCCAGACUCCUACGGGAGGCAGCAGUGGGGAAUUUUGGACAAUGGGCGAAAGCCUGAUCCAGCCAUGCCGCGUGAGUGAAGAAGGCCUUCGGGUUGUAAAGCUCUUUCGGACAGAAAGAAAUCGCACGGGCUAAUACCCAGUGUGGAUGACGGUACUGUAAGAAGAAGCACCGGCUAACUACGUGCCAGCAGCCGCGGUAAUACGUAGGGUGCGAGCGUUAAUCGGAAUUACUGGGCGUAAAGGGUGCGCAGGCGGUUAUAUAAGACAGAUGUGAAAUCCCCGGGCUCAACCUGGGAACUGCGUUUGUGACUGUAUGACUAGAGUACGGUAGAGAGGGGUGGAAUUCCUGGUAGCAGUGAAAUGCGUAGAUAUCAGGAGGAACAUCGAUGGCGAAGGCAGCCCCUUGGACCUGUACUGACGCUCAUGCACGAAAGCGUGGGGAGCAAACAGGAUUAGAUACCCUAGUAGUCC
rnacentral:rRNA from 1 species